GACAGAGGGGGCAAGCGUUGCUCGGAAUUACUGGGCGUAAAGGGCGCGUAGGCGGGAUGGCAAGUCGGUCGUGAAAUCCCUCGGCUCAACUGAGGAUCGUCGAUCGAUACUGCCGUUCUUGAGGAUUGCAGAGGAGACUGGAAUUCCCGGUGUAGCGGUGAAGUGUGUAGAGAUCGGGAGGAACACCGGUGGCGAAGGCGGGUCUCUGGGCAAUUCCUGACGCUGAGGCGCGAAAGCGUGGGGAGCAAACGGG
rnacentral:rRNA from 1 species